rnacentral:misc_RNA from 1 species
GAUGAAGAACGUAGCGAAAUGCGAUACUUGGUGUGAAUUGCAGAAUCCCGUGAACCAUCGAGUCUUUGAACGCAAGUUGCGCCCGAAGCCAUUAGGCCGAGGGCACGCCUGCCUGGGCGUCACACGUCGUUGACUCCCCAUCUACUCCUUCGGGAUUGCGGGGGGCGGAUGAUGGCCUCCCGUGCGCCUCGUCGCGCGGUUGGCAUAAAUGCCAAGUCCUCGGCGACGCACGCCACGACAAUCGGUGGUUGCGAAACCUCGGUUGCCCGUCGUGUGCGGUCGUCGCGCAUCGAGGGCUCGAAAAAAUUGUCGGGCUCCGGCUCGGCUUUCAACGCGACCCUAGGUCAGGCGGGGUUACCCGCUGAAUUUAAGCAUAUCAAUAAGCGGAGGA